AGGCACGUAGCUCAGUUGGUUAGAGCACCACCUUGACAUGGUGGGGGUCGUUGGUUCGAGUCCAAUCGUGCCUA
rfam:Neisseria sp. oral taxon 020 str. F0370 genomic scaffold Scfld80, whole genome shotgun sequence.